AAAAUAAUAAUAAAACAGAACAGCACCUUAAAGAAAAAUCUAUUGAAGUAGAUAAAAAGAUAGCAAUUCUUAGAAUUAGAAUUAUUGAAAUAGAUUAAAAUACAGCAAUUAUUUGAAAAACAAUUUUAAGUAAUUCGUAACAUAGAAAACCUCAAAAAGCUUGUUAGCUAGGGUAACUAACAAGCAUUUGAAAUAUUCACCACUCUACUAGAAAUUUCAGGAUUCAUAGAUGAUUUUUAGAUCAAGUGAAAAGUUCCUUCAAAAAUAUAUUAGAUUUGCCAAGCUAUAGUUCUAAGAAUAUCUAGAAAAAUGGGAUCAAACUAAGAAAGCAGAAUAUUCAGCUAAGAAUAUUGAAGGAGACUGUGAUCUAGAAGCUGCCAAAAUAUGAUAGCACUACUUAAUCUAAUACAUAAUACUCAUUUUCUAAAGGAAUGUAUUUGUACUUGUGAGUGAGGACAGACAUGCGCAUGCAUAUAUGGAAUACCAAAAUAUGACUUUCUGACAUGAUUUCUUAUUACUAACUAAAUAAAAAAUGUUCAUCCUGAUUACAAUUGAUUCUAUAUUGUUGGACUAGAUGGUUAAUAAUUUAUCGUUCUCUGACAUUUUCAAUUGCUCCCAUCUGACAGAUUUCUUAACAGAAACCAAGAGACAUACACAUGUCCAAUGUUUCUCUUGGAAGAGUAGAAGCUGGUCAUGUCAACUUUAUAAUGUUAAAUCUACAAUUCAACCUUCAACUGGAGAUUUGGAAUGCUUUAAAAAUAGAAAUUAAAAAUAAAAACAAAAUCCAAAUGAAAAAGAUAGUAUGAAAGUAUGUCAAUAAACAUGAUUAUUGUUCUGUAUUUUGAUGGUAAAUAAAUACUGUCUUGCAAAGUUAUGGAAGUAAAAUACAAUUCAAGUCAUCUAUUUACCAUUAAGGAAAGAUUCUCCCUGACAGAAUAUUAAUUUAAUACAGCUGUAUGGUACAAGUAAUAAAAAUACUAUGUGUACCAGCCAGACCUGCCGGCUCAUGAAAUGUCUUAUCUCCUGGAAGCACAGUUUAGGGAUGUAGGAUGUGAUAAAGCAGCUGCCAGGACUCAUCAAAUCCCCUGCUUCAUCCAUGUGGGGAUAAAUAAGUACCAAAAGAAGCCAUAACCAUAUCACCUUGGACUUAAAACACUAGGAACAAAGCUGAAGAAUCUGGGAGCUCAGGCUGUUUCUCCUCCACCUGUUCAGUCCAUGGAAGAGUGACCCAUAAAAGGAAAGAACUCAAAGUGAUUGAUUGACUUUGGGAAUGAUGUUGAUAAGAGAGAUUUGAUUUCUGAGACUAUAGUUCGUACUUUCUGGAGGAUGGAGUGCUGGGCCAAGAUGAAUUAAACUUCACAAAUAUAAAGAACGUUAACGCAGGAGGAUUUAAACUGAAUCCUGUGGAAAAUGGAGAUGUAAAUCCAGAAAAUUUUAAGAUAAGAACUUGUGCACAGUAAGUCAACAAACUUUCAUCAUCUCCCUCCCCAUAAAAGCAAAACACCAGGAUGACUAAAGCUGAUUCCGUCCCAGAACCAGGCCUGAAAUCAGAGUGAAACAGCUUCAAUUAAUACAUUUCUUCCAUAGGUUUGAUACAUUAUAGGUAGCACCCUCACAAGCACCCUGGAAAGGGGCAUUAAGUCAAUAGCUAUUAAACCCCAGGUUCCAGAGAGUUUCUUGAGCACAAGCAUAUAGCCGCCUUCAAAGCAUUCGUUAAAAGCUCCUGUCAUAACUGGAAUCCAGCUAAAUGUAUUUAUACUAAACAGUGUAAAAUCUUCUGCUACUAUUUCUAUUGAUACUUUUAAUUAAGCAUCCCUUUAAUUAAUUAUAUUGUUUCAUAAGCAAACUAAGACAACUCAGAGGUAAGUACUCAUUCUUGAUUACUCAUUUUGAUUGAAGGGCUAGUUAUUUUUCUACAAAAUUACUUUCCAUAAUGUCAUUCAACUGUGAAGUAGGAUCUUGCCCCAUCAGCCUUCUGUCAGUAAUAAUGAUAAUAAUGUCAAUAACCCCUGUCAGUGAUUAUCCAGAAGCCCUUACCAUUAAAGAGGCUAUAAAACUUCUGCAUUUCAGCCUUUGGCAUGCAAGUCUUUUCAGUUUUCAUCUUUGAAUUAGGAGAAUAUAAAUCUAUUCUAACUCCUUAAAGAAAAGGUAUGUAUGGUUUAGGCUUCAGUAAAUCUGUUUCAUAAUGUCAUCAGAUUCAGAAA